rnacentral:tRNA from 1 species
AGCCCCGUCGUAUAGUGGCCAAGUAUAGGAGGCUCUGGACCUCUUGACGGCGGUUCGAAUCCGCCCGGGGCUA